rnacentral:rRNA from 1 species
AGAGCGAACGCUGGCGGCAGGCCUAACACAUGCAAGUCGAGCGCCCGUAGCAAUACGGGAGCGGCAGACGGGAUAGUAACACGUGGGAACGCGCCCUUCGGUUCGGAAUAACUCAGGGAAACUUGAGCUAAUACCGAAUACGCCCUUACGGGGAAAGAUUUAUUGCCGAAGGAACGGCCCGCGUCCGAUUAGCUAGUUGGUGAGGUAAUGGCUCACCAAGGCUACGAUCGGUAGCUGGUCUGAGAGGAUGACCAGCAUCACUGGGACUGAGACACGGCCCAGACUCCUACGGGAGGCAGCAGUGGGGAAUAUGGACAAUGGGCGCAAGCCUGAUCCAGCCAUGCCGCGUGGAUGAUGAAGGCCUUAGGGUUGUAAAGUCCUUUAACGGGGAAGAUAAUGACGGUACCCGUAGAAUAAGCCCGGCUAACUUCGCGCCAGCAGCCGC